GCCCAGUAACCGAUUGCUUCUUCUUUUUCGAUCUGUUUGGGUCAAGAAAAGCUAUGUAUUGAGGACAAUUCCUCUUCCAAUGACCCUACUUCCUAUAGUAGAAGCACUCUACCUGACUCUAGUCAAACUUGGACUGGGACUUCUUGAUCUGACCCCCAACACUUGGCACCUUUUUAUUUUUUUUUCUUCCUUUCCAUUAAGGGACAGUGCCCAUCCGAAGAAGAUCCUUUCACUACAUUCAUCAUCUCCUUAUGGAGCGAUGGUCCUUCUCAAAAGUCUACA
rnacentral:lncRNA from 1 species